GAUCAUGGCUCAGGAUGAACGCUAGCUACGGGCUUAACACAUGCAAGUCGAGGGGCAGCAUGGACCCAGCUUUGCUGGGUUUGAUGGCGACCGGCGCACGGGUGAGUAACGCGUAUCCAACCUGCCCUUUACUCCGGGAUAGUCUCCUGAAAGGGAGUUUAAUACCGGAUGUGUUUGUCUUUCCGCAUGGGAGCGACAAAUAAAGAUUAAUUGGUAAAGGAUGGGGAUGCGUCCCAUUAGCUUGUUGGCGGGG
rnacentral:rRNA from 1 species